AAAUAUGAAGAUAUAUAUACUUUAAAGAUAUUUUUAUUUUGGUAGGAAGUUAGGAUUAUCUCACUCUCAUGUUGUAAGAUAUUUCUGGGUACCAUAUUAUUAUUACAUUGAAUACCUAUCUUAAUAUGUUCAUUUACUUUUCUUCUUUAUUUUUAUUUAACUUUGCCACUGAAUAGCAAUCAAAUAUGGCAGUGAGAAUGACAUUUAUGGGUAUAAUGUUUCCUGAGAUAUGAUUCCUGAGAAAACAAAAUUGUACCAUAAAACAAAUUAUGUAAUCCAGC
rnacentral:lncRNA from 1 species